UACGGAGGGGGCGAGCGUUGUCCGAAGUUACUGGGCGUAAAGCGCGUGUAGGCGGGUUGCCAAGUCCGCUGUGAAAGCCCGAGGCUCAACCUCGGAGGGUCGGUGGAUACUGGCAGUCUUGAAGGUGCUAGGGGGAGAUGGAAUUACCGGUGUAGCGGUGAAAUGCGUAGAGAUCGGUAGGAACACCAGUGGCGAAGGCGGUCUCCUGGGGCAUUCUUGACGCUGAGACGCGAAAAGCCAGGGGGAGCAAAACGGGG
rnacentral:rRNA from 1 species